rnacentral:rRNA from 1 species
UACGGGGGGGGCAAGCGUUGUCCGGAAUUACUGGGCGUAAAGAGCUCGUAGGUGGUUUGUCGCGUUGUUCGUGAAAACUCACAGCUCAACUGUGGGCGUGCGGGCGAUACGGGCAGACUGGAGUACUGCAGGGGAGACUGGAAUUCCUGGUGUAGCGGUGAAAUGCGUUGAUAUCAUGGGGAACACCAAAAGCGAAGGCAAGUGACUGGACCGCUACUGACGCUGAAACACGAAAGCGUGGGUCGCGAAUGGG